AUCCUGUAGGCAUAUCUAGAACCCCAUACAGACCCUUGGAACCCCACAGGCACUUCUAGAACCUUGUAUACAUGUCUAGAACCCCAUAGAGACCCUUGGAACCCCACAGGCACUUCUAGAACCCCAUAGAGACCCCUAGAACCCCAUAGAGACCCCUAGAACCCCACAGAGACCCCAGAAGAACCUUCAGCAGAACCUCUUGGGUACCAGAAGAACUUUGGAGAAACCACCGGGACUGUUUGGACACCCCUGGACCCUCAUGGACAUCUCAAGGUUGGGAUCUUGCAGUCUCUCUUUUGGACCCUCCCAAUCUCUCUUGUUACCCCUUUUUUUUGCUUUGCUCAAUAAAAGAGAAUUU